AAUAGAUACCCUGGUAGUCCACGCCGUAAACGAUGAGUGCUAAGUGUUAGGGGGUUUCCGCCCCUUAGUGCUGCAGCUAACGCAUUAAGCACUCCGCCUGGGGAGUACGGUCGCAAGACUGAAACUCAAAGGAAUUGACGGGGGCCCGCACAAGCGGUGGAGCAUGUGGUUUAAUUCGAAGCAACGCGAAGAACCUUACCAGGUCUUGACAUCCCGCUGACCGCUAUGGAGACAUAGCCUUCCCUUCGGGGACAGCGGUGACAGGUGGUGCAUGGUUGUUGUCAGCUCGUGUCGUGAGAUGUUGGGUUAAGUCCGCAACGAGCGCAACCCUUGAGAUUAGUUGCCAUCAUUCAGUUGGGCACUCUAAUCUGACUGCCGGUGAUAAACCGGAGGAAGGUGGGGAUGACGUCAAAUCAUCAUGCCCCUUAUGACCUGGGCUACACACGUGCUACAAUGGACGGUACAAACGGUUGCCAACCCACGGAGGGGGAGCCAAUCCGAUAAAACCGUUACUCAGUUCGGAUUGUAGGCUGCAACUCG
rnacentral:rRNA from 1 species